CCUUUGACGUUAGCGGCGGACGGGUGAGUAACACUGGGUAACCUACCUAUAAGACUGGGAUAACUUCGGGAAACCGGAGCUAAUACCGGAUAAUAUUUCGAACCGCAUGGUUCGAUAGUGAAAGANGGUUUUGCUAUCACUUAUAGAUGGACCCGCGCCGUAUUAGCUAGUUGGUAAGGUAACGGCUUACCAAGGCGACGAUACGUAGCCGACCUGAGAGGGUGAUCGGCCACACUGGAACUGAGACACGGUCCAGACUCCUACGGGAGGCAGCAGUC
rnacentral:rRNA from 1 species